UACAGAGACCUCAAGCGUUAUCCGGAAUGAUUGGGCGUAAAGCGUCCGCAGGUGGCUAUGUAAGUCUGCUGUUAAAGAGUGAGGCUCAACCUCAUAAGAGCAGUGGAAACUACAUGGCUAGAGUGCGUUCGGGGCAGAGGGAAUUCCUGGUGUAGCGGUGAAAUGCGUAGAUAUCAGGAAGAACACCGGUGGCGAAAGCGCUCUGCUAGGCCGCAACUGACACUGAGGGACGAAAGCUAGGGGAGCGAAUGGG
rnacentral:rRNA from 1 species